AUGACGCUGGCGGCGUGCCUAAUACAUGCAAGUCGAACGCACAGCGAAAGGUGCUUGCACCUUUCAAGUGAGUGGCGAACGGGUGAGUAACACGUGGACAACCUGCCUCAAGGCUGGGGAUAACAUUUGGAAACAGAUGCUAAUACCGAAUAAAACUUAGUGUCGCAUGACACAAAGUUAAAAGGCGCUUCGGCGUCACCUAGAGAUGGAUCCGCGGUGCAUUAGUUAGUUGGUGGGGUAAAGGCCUACCAAGACAAUGAUGCAUAGCCGAGUUGAGAGACUGAUCGGCCACAUUGGGACUGAGACACGGCCCAAACUCCUACGGGAGGCUGCAGUAGGGAAUCUUCCACAAUGGGCGAAAGCCUGAUGGAGCAACGCCGCGUGUGUGAUGAAGGCUUUCGGGUCGUAAAGCACUGUUGUAUGGGAAGAACAGCUAGAAUAGGAAAUGAUUUUAGUUUGACGGUACCAUACCAGAAAGGGACGGCUAAAUACGUGCCAGCAGCCGCGGUAAUACGUAUGUCCCGAGCGUUAUCCGGAUUUAUUGGGCGUAAAGCGAGCGCAGACGGUUUAUUAAGUCUGAUGUGAAAGCCCGGAGCUCAACUUCGGAAUGGCAUUGGAAACUGGUUAACUUGAGUGCAGUAGAGGUAAGUGGAACUCCAUGUGUAGCGGUGGAAUGCGUAGAUAUAUGGAAGAACACCAGUGGCGAAGGCGGCUUACUGGACUGCAACUGACGUUGAGGCUCGAAAGUGUGGGUAGCAAACAGGAUUAGAUACCCUGGUAGUCCACACCGUAAACGAUGAACACUAGGUGUUAGGAGGUUUCCGCCUCUUAGUGCCGAAGCUAACGCAUUAAGUGUUCCGCCUGGGGAGUACGACCGCAAGGUUGAAACUCAAAGGAAUUGACGGGGACCCGCACAAGCGGUGGAGCAUGUGGUUUAAUUCGAAGCAACGCGAAGAACCUUACCAGGUCUUGACAUCCUUUGAAGCUUUUAGAGAUAGAAGUGUUCUCUUCGGAGACAAAGUGACAGGUGGUGCAUGGUCGUCGUCAGCUCGUGUCGUGAGAUGUUGGGUUAAGUCCCGCAACGAGCGCAACCCUUAUUGUUAGUUGCCAGCAUUCAGAUGGGCACUCUAGCGAGACUGCCGGUGACAAACCGGAGGAAGGCGGGGACGACGUCAGAUCAUCAUGCCCCUUAUGACCUGGGCUACACACGUGCUACAAUGGCGUAUACAACGAGUUGCCAACCCGCGAGGGUGAGCUAAUCUCUUAAAGUACGUCUCAGUUCGGAUUGUAGUCUGCAACUCGACUACAUGAAGUCGGAAUCGCUAGUAAUCGCGGAUCAGCACGCCGCGGUGAAUACGUUCCCGGGUCUUGUACACACCGCCCGUCACACCAUGGGAGUUUGUAAUGCCCAAAGCCGGUGGCCUAACCUUUUAGGAAGGAGCCGUCUAAGGCAGGACAGAUGACUGGGGU
rnacentral:rRNA from 1 species